rnacentral:rRNA from 1 species
CCUACGGGGGGCUGCAGUGAGGAAUAUUGGUCAAUGGCCGGAAGGCUGAACCAGCCAUGCCGCGUGAAGGUCAGUGCCCUAUUGGCGUGAAACUUCUUUUGUGCGGGAGCAAUAAUGGUCACGUGUGGCCAGACGAGAGUAACGUACGAAUAAGCAUCGGCUAACUCCGUGCCAGCAGCCGCGGUUAUACGUAGGGGGCAAGCGUUUUCCGGAUUUUCUGGGGGUAAAGGGGGCGCAGACGGGGAUGCAAGCUGGGAGGGAAAGCCCGGGGCCCAACCCCGGGUAUGCUCUUGGAACUGCGUGGCUAGAGUGCAGGAGGGGCAGGCGGAAUUCCUGGUGUAGCGGUGAAAUGCGUAGAUAUCAGGAGGAACACCGAUGGCGAAGGCGGCCUGCUGGACUGCAACUGACGUUGAGGCACGAAAGCGUGGGGAGCAAACAGGAUUAGAUACCCCAGUAGUC